rnacentral:lncRNA from 1 species
CCCUUAUUAACCAGACAAUGGACGAGCCGACUUCCGGUUGCUUCGCGCCGAAGCGGCCACACACAGCGGACCUGGCACUAUUUAUCCAGGCCGCUGGGUGGCGCUCGGGUUUGGCCGGCCGAUGGAGGAAAAGCAACGCGAAAGACCGGCAACACAGACGCUGACAAACACUGAACACAGGUAUGUAUUAACACGAUAACAUGACAAAACAUAGGAACAUAGAAACAAAAGACAACUCAGGUAUGUAUGCGUGUUGUUAUGCGCAGCAUGGAUACUGAUGGGGAUGGAAAUGGAGUGGAUAUGUUUGCGUGUAUGAAGACCAACGUACUAAUGGCGUUGCGUGUGCACCCACACCGCCCCAGCAGAGAACGGAGGAUGAGAAAUCAUCUCCAGCUUUUAAAGCCCUGUGGUUCUGUCCCGAUACAAGCUGCCACAUAAAUCAGGCAGAGUGAGAGCGGCUGGGACCACCUGACACUGGAUCACCCCCAUGGAAUCCUGGAAAUGGCGGAGUUCAUUCAGCGGAGCCACACCACGGGAGAGCUGGCAUCCCUGAAUUGUGUUUAUUUGUUGGCACCCUGUCGUGAAAACCUUCCCAUCAACUGCAUAUUAAUCUUGUCAGCAAAUUUCUAAAGGUCUUUCUUCCUUUGCAUCCACACCCCUCCCAGCUCAAACUUCUGAUGAAUUUAUGGCCCUCUCCUCACCUCCUCACUCAGCUCAGCCUUGCUCCUGUUCUCCUCCUGUUUCUCGACUCCUCUACUCCUUUCCUUUCCGGUCCAUAUACAUGUCCUGUAUAUCCACACAUGCAUUAAUACACAGGCUUCAUUGGUGACAUGUAGCCAUCAUAGAAGGUCAGUAAGAGCUCCAGUGAACAGAAACCUCUCAAUCCUGCUGAGAGCCCAUCUACUGGCUAAAGUAAUGGCGACAAUCACAAUCUGGCUGAAUACACCUAUAGACUGAAAGUAAUCAUUAUUGGCUUACAUUCUCUCACUCUGACUGUAAACAUUGGACUGGAAAAGGUGCAUUGCUAAUAUAAAUCUGCAAAUUACCAGGCCCACGUGGUAUGUGUGCCGUGCGUGCAAAACUUUAUACUUUAAGAAAAGUCUGUCUUAAUAUGAUUUUCCAUAUUCAUUUCUCACAGAUGUUUUACCUGUAUUUUCAAUUAUGAAAGGAAAUAUCUGUUACUGGUAAUUUUUUUUGCUAGGACAUGUUUUUUUCUUACAGUGACCAGCUCAGCAGGUUACUGUCAUUCAUAAAAUUAUAAAAAUGUCCUAUGUUAUGUUAGGCUUAUUUAUAUACUAUUAAAUUGUUUGUC